UACGGAGGGAGCUAGCGUUGUUCGGAAUUACUGGGCGUAAAGCGCACGUAGGCGGCUUUUUUAAGUCAGGGGUGAAAUCCCGGGGCUCAACCCCGGGACUGCCCUUGAAACUGGAGAGCUAGAAUCUUGGAGAGGCGAGUGGAAUUCCGAGUGUAGAGGUGAAAUUCGUAGAUAUUCGGAAGAACACCAGUGGCGAAGGCGACUCGCUGGACAAGUAUUGACGCUGAGGUGCGAAAGCGUGGGGAGCAAACAGG
rnacentral:rRNA from 1 species